GCUUAGUGCUAUAAAACCGGAAUGUGCAUGAUUGCUGGAUUUCCCAACACAUCAAUAGGAAUUUAAUCCUAAUUAUCGUCGUCCGCUGACGCCUGACAGUAACCUCACUUCUGUCUGUGCUCCGUUUGACCUUUCGGGAGUGCUUCAGAAUGCGGCAAUGGGGGAUAACGGGAGAUCUUGGCAACCCUCCGUGACUAACGACCUCUCGGUGGUGGCACGAUAACAUUCCCACGCUCUGAGCACGGAUCUGCCACCCGUUUGGCGUGCACCCUGUCGUACGACCGACAAUGGAAACGGACGCAGAAUUAUUUUACCUGACAAUGGUUGUAUUGGAACGUUACGAAAGAAUUGGGUCAAAUCUCCGUGGGCGUAUCCAAUGGACAAUAAUAUCUUCCCAAUCUACUGAUUUCAGCCCAACUAUACAACUCUGGAGCGACCAAUUUCAAUUGAACGUUAGACACAUAAAGUCGCAAUACUACUAGAUUCUCUCUGUUUGUAACCUUUUAGAGUUCCUUCUGAAUAGAGGAACUAUUAAGAGGCCCUCUAAGUACUUCUAAGCCUGUUAGAACCAUUCAAAUAGGUCUCUAAAAAGAUCUAAUAUAGAAUUAGAAUGAUUCAGUGACUAUCUAAAUAUAUUCAGAGCCCAUUCUGAAUAAUUCUAACUCUUUUACUUUUAUAACUAUAUAGAGGGAACUCUAAUGCAGAAUUAGGACUAUUUAGUGCCGCUCUGAAUAUAAUUGAAGGGCCCUUCUGAAAAGUUCUAACAUGGUAAGAAGUAUUUGGAAGAGUCUAAUACAGACUAGGACUAUUAAGAACUAUUUAGAGGCACUUCUAAAUAAUUGUAAAGCAGGUUAGGACUAUUUGAAACUAAUUAGAGGAACUUCUAAAUAAUUUCAAUGAAGUUUAGGCCUGUUUCUAACUAUUUAGAAGAACUUUUAAAUAAUUUCAAUAAAGUUUAGGACUAUUUAGAGGCACUUCCAAAUCAUUUCAAUAAAGUUAAGGCCUAUUUCUAACUAUUUAGAAGAACUUUUAAAUAAUUUCAAUAAAGUUUAGGACUAUUUAGAGGCACUUCCAAAUCAUUCUAAUAAAGUUUAGGUUAGGUUAGGUUAGGUUAGUUAGGACUAUUAAGAACUAAUUAGAGGCACUUCUAAAUAAUUCUAAGACAGGUUAGGACUAUUCAGAGGCACUUCUAAUUAAUUUCAAUAAAGUUUAGACCUAUUUCUUACUAUUUAGAAGAACUUUCAAAUAAUUUCAAUAAAGUUUAGGACUAUUUAGAGGCACUUCCAAAUCAUUCUAAUAAAGUUUAGGUUAGGUUAGGUUAGUUAGGACUAUUAAGAACUAAUUAGAGGCACUUCUAAAUCAUUCUAAUACAGGCUAGGACUUUUGAUAAUUAUUCAAAGGCACUUCUAACUAGUUCUGAUAGGGGCUAGGAUUAUCUAUAACUAUUUAGAGGCACUUCUAACUUCUAAAUAGUUCUAAUAUAGAGUUAGAACUAUUUAGAGACCCUUCAAAUAGUUCUAUCCAUUUAGAGGCCCUCUAAAUAGUUUUAACCCUGUAUACCACCGAUGGCAACUCCGAACCGAAGGUAAAUAUACCAGAUUGGACAUCUAGUGUACUUACUUUCGGUUGCUCUCCGUUAGAACGUUAGUUUUUUCUGUAGAAUUAGAGACUGUACUAUAAUAAUGAAAAUUGUAAUAUCAAUAAUAAAAAAAAAGAGGUA